UCUUGCCUAUUUUCUUCCUAGCAAAAAAAUGAAUGUAUAUGCCCAAGUAGAAUUCCUCAACUUCAGCUGUGAUCUCUGUGAUCAGCUCAUCAUCUCUCCAUACCCUCUCCACAUGGAAGUCACCUCUUGUAUUUGUCACAAGAUCACACCAGGUUAACUAAGCCAGUAACCAUCAGCUGACCGUGGAAUGACAAUUGUGUGUUUCUUUCUCAGUUUUGCAUGGUCCCCAAUAAACUCAACGUGAGAUGCCUCUCCGAUUUCUUUCACAUCAGGGCACUUAACCUCUACCAGGCCACAGGGAGGUUCUUCAUUUGGGUCCAGUACUUUGCCAUCUGCACCAAGGUGUGGAGCAUCAAGGUGGAUGAUGAGACCAGAUGGAAGACAUUAACGUCAAAGGUCUCCUCAUAGCGGUGAAGAACCUCUGGCUCAAGUUUUAAUCCUCUACACAUCGCUCUCUAGAGACCCCGACAGAUGUUUACACACACUGUUUAAUGCAAGAUAUAAAUGCAUUUAACCUGCAAUUACAAAUACAUAAUGUUUUGAUGUUUUAAUCCCAAAAUGUUGAAUACUGAUAUUUGCAAUGAUAAAAGAAAGUGCUUUAAGAGGUGAAAUUUAAAAAACACCAAUAUCUAGACAAUCAUGAAUUGUAACAUCACUUCCUUUAAUGUUUUUACUAUACAGUUGAUAUGGAAUUUGUUUAAAUGUUACAUUUAAAAAAAAAAAAAGUGUUACAUAUUUAUAUGAAAUGCUUAUACAAAAUAAAUAUGUAGUUAACUUUAAAGUAUAUCUACAUUUCUUGCUUUCAAACAUGGUCAUAUGAAAAAUGUGCCUGGUAGAUUUCUGCCAUUUACUGGAAAACAUUUAAAAUUACAAUUUUAAACAAAAGCACUAUAUGAACAUUCUGAGUGAUUUUAUUACACAUAUACAAUCAGACAUCCCAAUUUCUGUUUUGGUAAAGUCAUUAAGUGUCAUGUCAUUUAGAUGAAUUAGAAUUUAAUUUAGGGUCCUGAAAUACCCUGAACACUGCACAGAGGUUAAGAUGACCAUUGCUACAUAAA